rnacentral:rRNA from 1 species
AUGAGCAAUACAACUUGUUUGCUUGGGAGAAUGGUUUUGGUAUUUGUCACGGCAAGUCUAGAUGGGGAGAAGGACGGUACCAGCAAAUGCACGAAAUUGUGUGUCAAUGCCAGGUUACUUUAUAUACCGCUGUUUCAUGGAUCUAUCGCGUAUACUGUGAUUUGUUCUGAAGUUGUUAUAUUUGUUUCGUUGAGAUUAUGUUGGAUUCUCACUGACAUGUCGUGGGAAAAUGAUUUUCUCCUGUAUGUCAUGAUGACCAAUAUUUUUUUCGAAGAAAAGGGGCUCACACCCCGGUUCCAUUCCACUGGAAGAAACCCAACCAGUCAACAAACAGAGUUACAUCAAGGAGGGAGCAAGCAGCAUUUGCCAAAAGAAAGAAAAAGACUCGUUUUUUGUUCAGCUCACAGACCCGUGAUGAUGACAAAAUGUAUGCCAUGA